UUAAUUGAAACCAAAUAGAGGUUUAUCACUGUUAAUGAUAAUAUUGAACCAUGUUCCAAUUAAA
rnacentral:tRNA from 1 species